UACAUGGGGUGCAAACGUUGCUCGGAAUUAUUGGGCGUAAAGCGCACGUAGGCGGUUUGUUAAGUCGGAUGUGAAAUCCCUCGGCUCAACUGAGGAAGUGCAUCCGAAACUGGCAAGCUUGAGUACGAAAGAGGGUCGCGGAAUUCCCGGUGUAGAGGUGAAAUUCGUAGAUAUUAGGAAGAACACCAGUGGCGAAGGCGGCUCACUGGUCCGGUACUGACGCUGAGGUGCGAAAGCGUGGGGAGCAAACAGG
rnacentral:rRNA from 1 species